AUGUUUUGUUACAUAACCUAUGCUAAUAGUUCUUAUAUUUGGAAUGGAAGUAGUGCACUGCAUUCUGAAUUCAUGAAACAUAGGCAUUAAUCAUGUGGAAAUGCAAUAAUACAGCUAUAUUUCACUGUCAUCACUUGUAGUGUUCUGUUAAACAAAAUAUCUUUACUAUGAAACCCAGUACAGCACAUAAACUUGGGGCAGAAUCAGUUGUCUUUAAUUUGGAUUCAUUAUGAGGUGGUUUAGGAGUGUAUUUUAAUUUUCUCUAUGUUUUCUUUUUGUAUCUUUGUAGUGGCUGGACUGCUAAACCUUCUUCCCCAAGGUACCAUCGGUGCUAUUUCUGCUCAUUCAGAGGAAGACGAUGACACUGGGCUCUCUGUUUCGUCUCGUCUGCCAGAUUUGCUCGCCAUCUCCUCAUACUCCUGCGUGGUUCAAAUCUGCUGCAGCUAUAUAGAUUCCUGAUGAUGAUAUUGGACUUUAUGAGGUUGCCAAGAAAAUCGAAGACUUAGUAUGGCUUCGCCAUCUCGAGGAUCCUCUUGCUCCUCCUUACUCUUCUCCUUCUUGGCCUCAACCUCGGUACCCAGUUGGUCAGUCCCUUUCUACAAGACCAGAUAUCAUUGGUGUUGAGAUGUCCAAGGUUAGAUUAAAAACUGCAUGUCUGUUGCUAUUUUCUUAUUGGUGGACAUUUCUUUCUAGCAAUGGAUUCCAAAGGAAGGGGCAAUGAAUUCCAAAGGAAGGGCUUAUUACUGGUUAUGAGCAGUCAUAAUCUCUUGUUGGAUGAAGAUAAUACAUGGUUAUAAGUCAAAUUAUCAGUGACUUGGUGUUAAGUAUGUUCUUUAGCAGUAAUGCUAAUUUGAGUGUAAAAAGGUAUUUUUGUUUUCUAUCUUAGACUCGUACAGUAUCUACCUCUGACUCUGCUGAACUCUCUUUUUUGGGCCAUGUACAAGUACAACAUAAUUCCAUUUCACUGUGUUUGUAAUGCUAUUUACAUUUUAAGAUUUUGAAGUUUGGAUAACUGUCUUGGCAAUUUAUUCCUAUACUUUCUUCUUGGCGUCGUCUCAGAAUUGUACUUUUUCUUGUGAGGCCUAAAGCAUGUGCUUCUAUAUAUAAGCUUAGAAAAGUGAGGCUUGGUUCAGUUUGUUAUAGAGUGAGAAGCAAGGUUGUUGCAUUAUCUUGCUAUAUAUAAGCUUAGACUCUAGAAUCAGAAUGU